rnacentral:rRNA from 1 species
UACGAGGGGUGCAAGCGUUAUUCGGAAUCAUUGGGCGUAAAGGGUGCGUAGACGGUAUGAUAAGUUCGUUGUUAAAGAUCUUGGCCUAACUAAGAAUAUGCGAUGAAAACUAUCAAACUAGAGGGUGAGAGAGAGAAGUGGAAUUCCCGGAGUAGCGGUAAAAUGCGUGGAUCUCGGGAGGAACACCAAUGGCGAAGGCAGCUUCUUGGCUCAUUUCUGACGUUGAGGCACGAAAGCGUGGGGAU